rnacentral:rRNA from 1 species
UACGAAGGGGGCGAGCGUUGUCCGGAAUUAUUGGGCGUAAAGAGCUCGUAGGCGGUCUGUCGCGUCGGCUGUGAAAACCCGAGGCUCAACCUCGGGCCUGCAGUCGAUACGGGCAGACUAGAGUGCUGUAGGGGAGACUGGAAUUCCUGGUGUAGCGGUGAAAUGCGCAGAUAUCAGGAGGAACACCGGUGGCGAAGGCGGGUCUCUGGGCAUUACCUGACGGCUGAGGAGCGAAAGUGUCGGGGAGCGAACAGG